GGAUAAAGGUGGGGAUGACGUCAAAUCAUCAUGCCCCUUAUGACCUGGGCUACACACGUGCUACAAUGGACGGUACAAAGGGCUGCGAACCCGCGAGGGGGAGCCAAUCCCAUAAAACCGUUCCCAGUUCGGAUUGCAGGCUGCAACUCGCCUGCAUGAAGCCGGAAUCGCUAGUAAUCGUGGAUCAGCAGUACAUUUGAUUC
rnacentral:rRNA from 1 species